UGUCUCCUGCGGUGUUCGAGAAUCGGUUUGGUACCCUUGAGCCUAUUUAAAAAACCCCGGGAACCGUAACCAUGCCGGGCGUGCAGGCCCACCUCGCAGUGGGAAGCCCGAAGGCGUGGCGUGGUGCCCACUUGAGACUAUGUCUCAAGGUCGAAAAUCGAUGACGGCACAGGCGGGAGACAU
rnacentral:other from 1 species